AUUGAACGCUGGCGGCAUGCCUUACACAUGCAAGUCGAACGGUAACAGGUCUUCGGAUGCUGACGAGUGGCGAACGGGUGAGUAAUACAUCGGAACGUGCCUAGUAGUGGGGGAUAACUACUCGAAAGAGUGGCUAAUACCGCAUGAGAUCUAAGGAUGAAAGCAGGGGAUCGCUAGACCUUGUGCUACUAGAGCGGCCGAUGGCAGAUUAGGUAGUUGGUGGGAUAAAAGCUUACCAAGCCGACGAUCUGUAGCUGGUCUGAGAGGACGAUCAGCCACACUGGGACUGAGACACGGCCCAGACUCCUACGGGAGGCAGCAGUGGGGAAUUUUGGACAAUGGGCGCAAGCCUGAUCCAGCAAUGCCGCGUGCAGGAUGAAGGCCUUCGGGUUGUAAACUGCUUUUGUACGGAACGAAAAGCCCUGGGUUAAUACCCUGGGGUCAUGACGGUACCGUAAGAAUAAGCACCGGCUAACUACGUGCCAGCAGCCGCGGUAACAC
rnacentral:rRNA from 1 species